GGAUGAAUAUUUUUAAUGUAUUAUUUAUCAAGAGAUUCCUUUACCACCAUUCACCAAAAUGGUCAUAGGAUGUUAAAAAGAAGAAGUAAAUAUACAAACAUACGGUAACAUUUAAUUAACUUAAUCACACUGUAGUACAAAUGAUGAUAUUCAAAAGACACAUGAGAGCAUUUUCAUAGAUGGGGCUUAAAGUUGUCUCCUGACUGAGAGUAUUUUGCAAGAAGCAUUCAAGUUGAACAAUUAAAAUGGAUUAAAGUGCUGUGCUGCCCUAGCACAACAAAUCUAGUUGUGCUUUUUUUAAAAAAACAAAAACAAACCAGACUUAUUGCUGUUAGCAAAAUGACAAAGAAAUGCACUUAGAAGUGUGGGGUGAAUGAAUGAUUAGUGGAAAGGUAUAUAAACACCAUUCAAGGAAAUCAGGAUGAAUUCUUAAUAAAGACCAGAUAGUCUAAUUUCUACGUAAGCUUUGUGCAAGAAAACCAAAAUGAAUGCGCAAUAAGUGGGUCAUCUGUAGGAGUGUCAGUCUACAAUGCAAAAGUACAAACUAUGUGUGUUAGAAGUAGUGAUGAACACAGAGUUUAGAAUUCAGAAGUACAGGAGUACAAAUUCUUGCAGGUACAAAUGAGUGUGGCCUCUCUACUGUUGAAACUAUCUGUUACCAUUUCAGGAUGGCUACAAUGAGAAAGCUUGCUAGCUGCUGCAACAUCUAUUAAAUAGUAUCAUUGUGGGCACCCAGACAUUGGGGAAACUACAUUUUUCUGGUGUUGGGGGGAGAAUGAGGCUUGUGGCUGUUGUUCAACAGCAACAUAUAUUAAUUCUAACAGCCAGUUUAAUAAUCCUGCUUCUUGUUUUGUGAUGAUCACAUGCAGUCUAAAGGAACCUGCAAAUUGGCCUUUAAAUUGAAUGUUUAAUCAAGGAGAAUUUUCUUAUAUAAAAGAAAGCUAUUUUACUCACUUUAGAUACUGAGCAAUUCACAAACCUUUUAGCAGUCAGAUAUAAAACAGAUUAACUAGCAGAGAGUUGAUCCAUAGAACUCCAGCCUCAGGAAAAGAUAUUUUGAAUACAUUUCCAACUACAGUAUUGCUGUGGCGAUUUUGCCCCAUCCUGACAGAAAUAAAAUGGAUGAGGUUCUUCUGGAAAAUAAUGCAAGGUUUGGCCAGCAUUCUAAAUUUCCAGUUCAUGCCCACUUUUGCCACUGCUUUUCAUCUACAGUACAUACAGUUGAAAAGCUCAUUGAUAAAGCUGAUAAGCAAAUUUCAUUUUCUAUGAACUUCAUUGCUUUGUGUUGAUUUCAUGUUUCACCAUAUCCUUGAAGUUUGGGCAGCACUGCCCAUCAAAUGUGUUUAGUGAUUUUAAUUAAUAAAAAGUGAUGGUGUAAAAAAAAAAAAAAGGUAAUACCCUUUGUAGCUGCCAUUGUAUUUUAGGCAUGAGUGCGUACCAGCUAGCUACAGUACAAUAAUCUGCUCAUCAUUUUACCUGUGCAUUCCUUCAAUUUACUUUUACCUGGUAUUCAGAUAUUUUUUAAUGUUUCCUUAUUGAUUCCACUACAUCUUCAGUUUCAUUCCAAGAGAAAAGUUUCUAUUGCUUCUUCAAUUAACCAUACUAGUUAGGUAAAAUUUAUAAUCCUGGUUCCUCUGACUAAACACUGAUGGACAGAUAUCUCUUUGAUGAGUAAUAUAAUAAAGAAGAAAUUUUCUGGAAGACUUCUUCACUAAAAUAGACUUCUAAAUCUCCUCCUGCAACUAAUAUCAAAGUGUCUGGUUCAAGGCACUAUGAAUAAGAAAAAAACCCACAUAAAAUUUAAAACACGGCUCAGCAGCAAAUCUCAAUUAAUAUUAGAAAGGGUACACAUUACUGCCUCAGGUCUUGAAUGUUACCCGCAAGUUUGGCUGCAAAACAAGCAGGCGAGUCUGGAUGAGCCAACAGAGGUAUACUCCAAAAGAAAGACUCCAAGUUUUCUAAUUUGUUAGCACACUCUUCAUCAGUGGUUGGUGUCCAUUGGGACUUAUAAGAGCUGAGGGCAAGGAGACCAACAGUAGGUGGAGCCAAAGUCAAUGACUAAUUCUAGUUUUGUCACCAUCAUGCUCCCUGCUGAGUUCUACAGGGACAAAGCUGAGGCUGAGGAAGAUGGCAGCAACUAAUCAUAAAUAAGAAGGCAGGUUGGCUGAAGGCAGAACUACGUUGCUGGAGCAGGUUGUAGGGCUGCGAUAUAUCCAGAUUUUUCCAGACAUUAUGGGGAUUUCAAAGGUGAAAUUAAUUUCUGGGGAGGAAUUUCUUAGACAAGUCAACAUCUUUUUAGGUGUCCUGGUUUUUACUUUUUGAAAUAUGGCAAUCCUAUCCAUUUGCCCUUAUGGAUCAGCCUCCACUGCUCCUCAUCAGAACCCUUUGCUGUGCCUAAAAAGAAAAACUCUUUAAAAGAAGUUGCCUUUUAUCAAGUCCUUCUAAACUCAGGAUUGCCCACUCUGGCUUAAAGUAGCUCUUCACGGACUCAGGCACCAUUUUCUCAUACCGCCUGCUCCUUGAUCUUUAAAUGAAAAACAAACACAUAAAAUUGGAACCAGGGACUUACCACAUGCAAAGUAUGUGCAAAUGCAAUUAUGAUUCAUCGCUUCUUCAUUUUCUCCCUUCCCAGAAGGGAACAAUUGGUUAUUACCUCUGAUGAAGAAUAUACCACACUCAAAAUGCAUUUAGCAGUUUGGAGAGGUUCUGUAAACAGAAGCAAUUUGUUCAAGCACCUUUAAGUUUAUCCCUGUUUGUUGGGCUGAAAAUUGGUGCUGACCUCCUUCCUUUCCUCUCCUUAGACUUCACCCCAAUUACUCUUGUACCUGCUUUUUUCACCACAGCUACCACUUCCUGGCUACUACCGUUUUAGGAGCCAUGGUGUUAGGUUAUGAUGCAGGGUUCUGGAAGUGGCAUCAGUAGUGAGGUAGAAAAACUGUGUGAUGAGGUCUUUCUUUAUUGUUGCAUUUUGGGAGUUAAUAUCUAAUGCUUAAGCAGCAGAAGAAGAAUUUGCUGAAAGCUAUCUGGUAAACUUCAUAGCUGUGUUGGAAUUUGAACCUGUGUUUCCCACCUGCUCCUCAGCCACACCCAAUGGUGCCCCCUUGAAUAAAAUAGGAGGGGUAAGCCCCACCCUGCAUAAUCAAUCACAUGAUGCGGCACAUGCACCCUAUUUGAAUGGCAAUACCCAUCAACUUUGGGGGGGACCCAGGCCCCUCAAAUAUUUUAUUGGGGGAGCGAAGACCCCUUGGCCCCUAGGAGUUAGCUUCUAUGGCCACACCCCUUACCAUGUCUAAAUGCUCUAUACCAGCAGUGGGGAACCUUAGUUCUGGGGACCAAAUGCAGCCCUUCAGAACUCUUGGGACCCUUGGGACUCUCCUUAGAUCAUGCCCCUUCUCAGCCACAUAUUUAAUGCCCCCUUGCUCUAAACACUGUCUUACAUUGGUUUUUAAAAAGUCUAAGAACAGGUGUUAUACCCUCCAAAAUCUGACAGACAGAAAGGACAUGCUUGUAAUAGGCAGUAUACUCUAAGGGCCCAACUAGAUGAGAUCCUAUUCAUCCAAAUACCAUUUAUUUGAAUGACAUUCUAAAAGACUGUUAAUCUGAAUCACUGGCACAUUACCAACACUUUGAACUUGAGGCUUGCAGGAAAUGGCAAAUGGAUCUAAGUUAAUUUUGGUUAUAUAUUUAGCUCUGCAAAAUAAAAUAGCUUAGGAAGUUCCAGAGAACCAUUUUAGUGUUUGUGAAUCCCUUUCUAGUGUCUAUGUAAGUGUUACAGUUGAAGCAGAAAAAAACUAAAUGGUAACAAAUAAAUGUACACAUGUACCUGAAGAAUAUAGUACAUCUGUUGAAAACAACCUAUAAAAUGAAUAAAUAAAUAAAUAUAUAAAUAGCAACACAAUCCUUCUUUGCUGAGAUGAGAAGUGAAUCACAUGAAAAUGCUGUGCUUACUAAGUUAUCCAUACAAUUUUCCAUUUACCACUUGACUCACUGACCAGAUUACAGUCCUCUUGCACCCCCCCAAUCCUUUGGGGACAUAAAGUUCUCUCCAGUAUUUUCUUGAUAAUUUCUCCUCUUUGGUUCUGGUGGUGUUCACUAUAGUUGUUAACUGACAUGAUACCUAAAUCAACUUUCAGAUACCUGUGGUGAGAGGCAGAGCUGUUGUCUUCCUUCAGUUCUUUAUCAGGAUGCAUUCCUUCAGUAUUUGGUCCAAAUAUAAAAGUCAAAGAUGCUAUCCAAAGAAUGAGACAGGUAGUCAGGAAACAUAUUUCCUCCCGUAGUCUGUGUUUGCGUUGGUGGUGUUGAAUUCUGGUUUGCAGUUCACAGCUUUAAACUUGAAACCUGAAGAAUUUAUACAAUAAAGGGGGGAACCCUCAAUUAGAGUGGCUGCAAUAUGUUUGGAAGGAUUUAUAUGGUUGGCUAAGCUGAUUUGCAGCAACAAGCUGUUUCUGAACAAUGUGGGGGUCUUCAGGGAAACAGCAGGAAGCUAAGUCGACUGUGGGUAGAAUGGUUCAGUAGCAUUACAAAGUAAAAGGGUGACUCAAAUGGAUCAUUCCUCUCCCCCAUCCCCAACAACAAUAAUAAAAUCCUUGUAGUAAAUUGCUCCAUUCUUCAUUAACCAAUUUGAUAAUGGUAGGCUUCUGUGAUAAGUUUAUGAAAAGGUUUUAUGUUUCCCUUUCACUGCAUAAUGUCAGGAGGACUAGGAAAAUUCAAUGAAGAUUGCAUAUUAGUAUAAGAGCUCUGCAAGUGUACAUACGUACCAGUUUCCAGUUACUUCCAGUCACAACAAAGAGCUUGAACCUAUGAGCCUCUGAACUAAUAGAAAACAGCAGGUUCUAUUUUACCUGUGUUGAAGCAUCUCUGCUUUGGUCUACAUUUAUGGAAGAAUGAGGUGGUAUUCUGCACUACACAGCUUCAAACUGUAGGUGUGUAUUCUGGAUUUGAAUGUUUCUAAAUGAGAGAAGGUGAAGAACACUAUUCCAGCACUUUGUUGUGCUGGUUUUCUAUUCGCAAAGGCAUAGGACUGUAUUAAAAAUGUGAUCACCCACCCACAGACUGAGUGGUACAGUCCAGAACACCACCUCAUCAUAACUUCUCAGUCACUGCAGUUCUAGUGCUCUGCCCUUCCCACAAACACACAUAAUACUGCAACAUCCAGUUUCUUUAUGUAUUACAUUUAUGUCUCACCUUUCCUUCAAGUAGCUCAAGGCAGCAUACAUGAAAGUGCAUCCCAGUUUAUCUUCACAACUAUCCUUAGCUUAGGCUGUGAGAAAGUUAUAUGCCCUAGAUCAUCCAAUGAGCUUCAUGACUGAGUGGGGAUUUGAAUUUGAUUCUCCUUGUCAUACACACUGUCAGGGGCUGGACUGAGGUGGAAUGGUGGGAACCGUGCCCCCCAUUCCAGCACCUUCCCAAGAAGAGGAGGAUAGUAUUGAUUUAGAACAGUGGUUUGCAGAAGGUUCAGAGGCUACAGAGGGGAGAAGCUGGGAAAUAUUGGGGAAUAGCAGGAAGAAGAAGCACCAGGGGAGAGACAGCUAACAGACUCAGUGUCUCUUGAAAGCAUUCCUGACCCCUACUCUCCCAGAACAAGGUGUGCCUUUAGGGUGGUAGAACAGAAAACUCAAAGGCAGAAAGCACAGGUCAGUCAGCGCAGGGGUGACGUAGAAUAGGGGAAACUGAUGUGGUGGAACUUUACUUGGAGCAAUGCCAUUUACUAAGAGAGACCGCAUUCCUUAGUCUCUCUCUUUGAAUAUUGAAUAAACUACCUGGUAAGAACUCUUUUUGUUUUUCCACUUCUUAGCAUCCCACCGUAAAAGGGAUAGGAUUCCCUGAAGCCUUGACACUAACCACUACAACACACACUGGAUUCACAUUGGACUUAAGAUUAUCUUUAUUGGCCUCAGAACCAAAGACAAAGUGAAGACAGUUGUCAUGUUGUUUUCAUCAAAAUAGAACCUGUACAAACACUUGUACAACACUUAUUUAAGAUAGUAUGUCAUUGCACGUUUGUAGAAUGUCAUUGCCUCCUCAUUUUUUUAAAAAACAGUUAGUCUCUACACAUCUAUAGACAGAAGAUGAGUUUCCAUGUAAGAGGACCAACAAGUAUGAUUUUCAGACGAGGUUGACUCCACACUUCUUGUUUAGCAGUUAAGCCAUAGAGCAUGACAUCAUUUUUAAAAUUCAUUUAUUGUUUGUACCUACACACCCACUGCCAAAAACAGACACAAAUAUUUUUAAAAUGUGAGGAAACACCUGCUUCUAGUUGCAUGCAGUUUUCCUCCCUGCAGAAAAAAAUCACACCAGUGAACUUUUCAUUAUCCAAAACCAUCCUUUCUCUAAAUUUAAAGAACAAAGAAUUCUGUGGCACGUAACAGACUAACAAAUUUAUUAAGACGUAAGCUUUUAAGGGCCACAAUCCAUUUCAUCAGAUGCCUGAAGUGUAAUCCUGAAUUAGCAAGCUUGCAUACACAUGGUGGUGGUAGUGAAGAAUGUAAAACAGUGAGAUUAGAGGGAAAUGAAAUGUAAAAAAAAAAAAAGCAGACUAACAUCACAUUUUGCUUAAAGUUAUUAAUGUUCUCAUCAUGCUGAAAAGAACCUUGCAAAUAUGUAAUUUUAUCAAAACAUGAUUAGAAAUGUAUGAAGAUUCGCUUGUGCCCAUGCCAGGAAACUCCUAUAGACAUACAAUUUAUUCUAUAUCUAAUUCCAGAUACUGCAAAGGACAUUGCUUUUUUCUGGGAGGACGCAGGGGGAAGCAUACCCCUAAGUUUGGCCUCAUUGGGGGGCAGUAUUUAAAUAUGAGUAGGAAAAUGACAGUACCCCUAAACAUUUUUUUAGAAAAAAAAGCACUGGCAAAGGACAUCGCUCAUAAAAUGUCCUUCAUCCCAAUACAAUAUACCUUCUGUAUCAAAAGACAAACUUUUGCUUUGAAAUAGGAAGUUUGGCCUACUGUAGCCAAUACUAAUAAUAAUAAUUUAUUAUUUAUACCCUGCCCAUCUGGCUGGGUUUCCCCAGCCACUCUAGGUGGCUUCCAGCAAAAAAUUAAACAUUAAAAGCUUCCCUAAACAAACACAUCAAUGUAUGCAUGCAUCCCUUUACUGGAAGCAUCCUCCAUACAGCAUUCAUGCCUAUUAUACACAACAUCAGACCUGAUUUACUGUAAAAGAAUGUAGGUUUCAUUGCGAAAUAAAGCAGUGCUAAGAAGCUAUAAAAGUAGAAGCAGCUAAUAAUGCCUGCCAAAACAGUGCCUGGCGUACAGUCAGAUGGCAAAUUAACAACUGUGUGGAUGUUGAAAAAGGGCUUUUGAUGAUUAAAAAUAGUUUUAGUUUUAGGGUGGCACCAGGAAAGGAUUUAAAACUGAAAAAAUGUUAGCAGGAAACCCCCAUCUUGAAUUCUCUCCUCUUACCUUUGCUCUGGGGGAUAAAAGGGAGGACUGUGUAUCUUUAGCUUUGUGGCCUUUUGAAUCCCUCAAAGUAUUAAGCUGCUGGGAAGCCCAGUGUUUUUUAAAUUCCUUGGCUCUGCUCUGCAAGCCAGAGAGGAUUAGUUUAUUCCUGCUUUGAAAAGUUUCUGGUUGCUAUGGAGAGAGUUGUACUUAAGGUAACAAGGGAGGUGGAUAGACAUUUUGUACAAGUUCUUCCUGGCAGGUUUCAGAAAGUACAUUGUAAAAUAUAGCUAACUAUUUUAAGUGUAUAUCUUAUGCAACUAUAUCCUAGUUAGAUACAUAUCUGCAGAACAAUUUAUCCAUUAAAAAUUAUAAAGUAAUCAAGAAGCACUUCUAUCUUUUAAAUGAUAUUUUCCUGCAAAAGAAAAAAAAGUAUUGAAAAUGUAAAUGCUUUCUAUUUCAUUCACAGAAUAUCUAGAUUCCAGGCCCUCCUCCACUCCUUAAAGUAAGAAUAACUUAAGAAAGAAACCUCUAUAUCCAUUUUUAUUAUUUGGGCUCCUUCCAGGCAACCCAUUUACCGGUAGCAAACAUUCAUCCUGAUUUGUUUGCAGGGAGAGUAGAUGACAUUGGCUAUUUAUCAAACAUUCGUUCUGAUUUGCUUGCAGGGAGGUUAGAUGAUGUUGGGUCAAUGCCAAUGUUAUCCCACUCUUCCCAGUACAUUUCCCCCCCAAAAAAUUCCUUCUUGCAAAAAGUCUCCCAUCUUUUUGGGGAAGUGGGUUGUUCUGCAAUACGUUCAAAUCAAUAUCUCCUGCCUGAGUGGUUCUACUUUCUGUUAUCCUGUGUGUUUUGCUUCUGUAACUGGAUACAGUCUUAUGAGCUGAAGUUUUUGAACCUUACUGGGGAUCCAGAAAGAUCCUGUGCACUUUUGAACCUCAGUAAACUAUUACUGAAGAAUUCUACUGCCUGAGUGUAUAUAUUUUAUUUUGAACUUUGCACGGGAGUUGAAUCCGACACAUCUGCUACUCUGCUACCUUCUGCCCACGUUCUGGAGUUGCUGUAUUUAGGCAUGGAGACAGGGGGGGUGCUGGAUUCUAAAUGGAAGCAUUGCAGACAAGGGCAUGCUCUGUGGCCCACUUGGAUUCUUAUUCUCUGCUCACUGCUGGAGAUAGAGCCAAAUAAUGGCUAACUUGUAUAUUUUUUUUAAAAAGGGGGUACAACCAUUCAUGUUUCUAUGUCCCAGCAGCCCUUGAUGCAGUCUGAAAUCUAUUUUGCACCCUACCACAAUAUACUGUAAUUUAAUUCAGUCUACAUAAAACAUCCCACAUUCCACCUCAAGAUAGUUAGAUUAUGUGGAAUUCCAGGCAUUUCCAUAAUUUCCCUUCUCCCCUCCAUUAAUGGUAUGGUUUUGCUUUACAUGUAACAUGACUUUGUGACAUAUUAGUCAGCCCUAAUAAAGGCUGCUGGAUUCCCCCCCCCCCCAUUGGACCAAUCACAUGGUUGCCUGAAAUUUUUCUAAGCAUGAAUGCAUGGUUUAGUCAAGACAGCCAGUGCUAUGUAAUGCAUAAUAAUUCCCUAAAUGCAAAUAUAAUCAGAGGGAUGCACUCCAUUAAAGUCAUGCAUACAACUGUUAGCCAGCAUUUAGAUCACUGAAUCCACAGGUAAGGGCAUCUAUCUCUCAUUAGCUCACGACAAGGAUUACCUUUGCCAGGGAAUGGAUGGUGGGAGUGCAACCCUAUUGAUUUUCCUGGACAUUUCAGCAGCUUUUAAUACCAGCUGACAAGUUCUUCUGGAUCAGCUGUCUGAAUUGGGACUGAGGCGGGGGAGCACAGUGUUAUGGUGGCUCUAGUCCUUCCUGGAGAAUCAUUUUCAGAAGGUGCCGUUGGCGGAUUUCUGUUCCAUGUCUAUGAACUGCCUCAGGGUUCUAUUCUGCCUCCUAUUCUUCUGGAGAUCUGAAGUAUCAGCAGUGUGAAGAUGACCUCUGUCUAUGUCUGCUGGUCCCAAAGAGGCUGCUGAACUUCUGAAUUGAUGUCUGGAGGCUGUACUGGGUAAACAACCUGAAACGUAAUUCCACACAUCAUAUUUUGACUCCCUCCCCCCCUUGAAUUUUAAAGGUGUGGCUUAUUUGCAGGUGCGGCUUAUAUUCGGGCUAAUACAGUAAACACCAUGAGCUAGAUUUAGAUUUGCUGUGAUUCAGUUGAUGCUCUCACUGGAGCAAGAGUGAAGGUGAUCUUCACAAAUACUUCCUUAGCUCUACAUGGGAAAACAGGAAUUGGGGGAACUCAGGUGAAGUCUGAAGUCUAAAUGGAAGCAUAAACAAUGUUGCUUCUUCCACCAUUCCACACACUGUUGGCAGAACAUUGCUAUGAACAAGGGCCCCAGAUUUCUGUAUUGCACAGUUAUUUCCAUCACUGUCAGCAGCUGAACAACAUGGGGAUGUUAAUAAGCUUUAUCAUACUCACUUCUUGGCUAAUAGCAGAAACAACUCUAUAUGUGCCAGCAGUUCAGCAUAAGAGUUUAGUUUUAUUUACACAGCAGUGUGGGACAUUAUAUUUUAAUGAUGCCCCCUUGGUAAUGUGCAGCUUUCUGGUAGAGGACCACAAUUUACUGAGCAACAGCCACUACUGAACCAGUGAACUACUUAUCUUGACGAACUUAGUAAAUGAGCUUUGAGCUGCCUUACAAUUGCACAGCAAUUGUGAGGAAUAAAGGAUGAAACCUGCACACUUCAGAUUUCCCCUAUGCUAUCAGUGUGCUGUGUGCAUAUUUUCUGUAAUUAGAUCCAUGGGGUGCAUUUUUUAUGAAAGAAUCUUACUCGCUGCACAAAAUGAAGUGGUGGAGGAGUAUAUGUGGCAAGUCUGCCGAUGCAGAAAUAAUGACAUGAAUAAUACCCACAUUUCAGAGUAAUAAGAGAAGUAACAUGUGCCAGUGUAAAUGUGUAGAACUAGAUCAGACAAUACUUCUCUCCCCUAACCUAAGCCAUCAGGUGGUCUUCCCAUGGAGACAUAUUGAAUUUGAUGGAUUCCUGACUGUUCUGGGGAAUUUUACAGGAUAUGGUCAGUUAAAAAAUAAUAAUAAAUAUUUCCACUGUUGUGCUGUAGAGAUCCUGACAGGUAAAAGCAUCCAUAUCAAAAUUUCCUUUUGGUGAAAUGUCGUCAUAUAAUCUGUCCGCAUAUUUAGUAGGAUAACUGAGGAGAAAUGUGAAUGUGUGUUUUAAUAAUUUCCUAUAUCUCUUGAUGAAUUUCAUUCCAGAAUAAACCAUUUUCACCUGAGAGAGGGGAAAAAUCCAUCACCUUUCCCAGCAGUUUGUUGCUGUGUUGUAAUAAUAUUUGAAUGAGUGUGUGAUGCUACCAGUGUAGAAUUUUUAAGGAACACGUUGCAGAUACUGAUUUGUAUGGCUUACAUUUUUAUUUAGUUAGUUAGUUAGAUUUGUAUAUCAUCUUUCACCCAAAGAUCACAGAGGGGUUCACAACUUAAAAAUACAAAAUGAGAGCACAAAAUAGUUAAUAUAACAAAACCAAAAACAAACAAACCCCCACAACACAUUUAAAAGGCCCUAGAAUGUUAAUCAGUCAAAGUCCGGGUUGAAGCGAAAUGUUUUUGCCCAAUGCCUAAAGAUAUGUAAUGAAGUGUCAAUACAG